rnacentral:lncRNA from 1 species
AAAAAAUGUACUCCAUAUUAUGUUGGUUCUAAAGAUUUAACCUUUUAUCGACAUUUAAUCAUAUUUUUCAUUGUCUUGGGUAUAGAUUUGUCUACUCUAAUGUUUAUAUUUAAACUAUGUAUGACAUAACUUAUAUGGUAAUAGUUUUUCUUUUUUCCAUAUAGUUGCUAUUGCUUACUUUCAGCUCCAACUAUUUGAUAAUUUUCUUCAUUUAUUGAUUGACAUAAUGGAACCAUGUGGUCAUCGAGAGUCCCGUUUGUAUAACGCUCAAACUCUUCUAAAAGUACAAGUCAAUCACAUGAUGCAUUAAUUCGUCAACAACGAAAUCAAAGAUGAAGAGAUCGACGACAUCAAGCUGAAACUUGAUUCAUUAAUUAUCAUAAAAAAGUAAUUCAGCCUAUGUUAUUUACAAAUAAUGAUUCUCACGUUGUCCAUGUACAUGAACCUACAACAUACCAUCAUUCUAAGCCUUCUACUCCCAACAAUGAAGUAUUAAACAUUUGCAAUACUGAAUUACAUGAGAGUUCUAACCAAUUAAAUGUACCAUGUAUUGCAUAUGUAUUACCGACAUGUACAUAUUGUAAAGAUUAUGGUGCAAAAAAUUCUACAGAGAAAGUAAAGGUUUCUGUUGUUCUGAUGGAAAAGUUUAACUCUCUAUGUCUGAUCCGCUAAUUGAACUCUACAAUUUAUUUACUUUUAAAGAACCUAUAUGUAUGGAAUUCAAAAAAAAAUUGCCAGGGCAUUUUACAUUCACUUCAUUUGGGGUAAAGUAUGACAAAGAAUUGUUUAAAUCAUACAGAGGUAUCUACACAUUUAGGAUUCAAGGUCAAGUAUAUCAUUACGUAAAUCCACUUAUGCCAGAAAAUAACACGCCUUCUUAUAUGCAAUUAUAUUUUUAUGAUACAGAUAACAAAGUUGGGAAUCGUAUAAAAAUUUCAGAGAAUUUUGUUCAAUCUACUUUGAUUAGUUUAAUUGAAAUCCUCAAAAUAAAUCCGUAUAGUAUAUUAUUUAGGUCUUUUAGUAAUAUGACAAAUUUGCACGAUCAUCAAAUACAAACAAGAUUCGAUCCGGGACUUGAUCAAGGAGUUUUCAAUACUCCUACGACGUCUCAAGUUGCUGCUGUAUGGGUUGAAGACGAUGAAAAUGCAAAUGUUCGUACUCGAGAUAUUAUUAUUUACAGUCAUUCCGAUGAUUCACAUAAGGUUCAUUACUGUUAUGGUUGUUAUGAUCAUUUACAAUAUCCUUUGCUUUUCCCAUAUGGAGAAUCUUGUUGGCAUGAAGGCAUUAAGAGAUGCAACAACAAAUAUUUACAGUCUCAACAUCUGUCUGACUUAGAUGGUUUUCCUAGCACAGUAACUUCCGCAUCUGAAAUUAUUGAAAAAGAUGAUGAAGAUUUAUGUAUAUUUUUUCUUUAUAGUUCUACUUUCUACAAUGUAAAUUAAUAAAUGAAUAUAUAAUUUUGACAUUUUCCAUCAUGCGGUGCUUAAUGGAACGAAGAAACGAUUUCAAGUCUCUUGCCGAGAAUACUAUUCAUACAAAUUCCAGAUUAGGC